GUGAACGCUGGCGGUAGGCCUAACACAUGCAAGUCGAACGGCAGCACCGUAAGAGCUUGCUCUUACGGGUGGCGAGUGGCGGACGGGUGAGGAAUACAUCGGAAUCUACUUUUUCGUGGGGGAUAACGUAGGGAAACUUACGCUAAUACCGCAUACGACCUACGGGUGAAAGCAGGGGAUCUUCGGACCUUGCGCGAUUGAAUGAGCCGAUGUCGGAUUAGCUAGUUGGCGGGGUAAAGGCCCACCAAGGCGACGAUCCGUAGCUGGUCUGAGAGGAUGAUCAGCCACACGGGAACUGAGACACGGUCCAGACUCCUACGGGAGGCAGCAGUGGGGAAUAUUGGACAAUGGGCGCAAGCCUGAUCCAGCCAUACCGCGUGGGUGAAGAAGGCCUUCGGGUUGUAAAGCCCUUUUGUUGGGAAAGAAAAGCAGCAGGUUAAUACCCCGCUGUUCUGACGGUACCCAAAGAAUAAGCACCGGCUAACUUCGU
rnacentral:rRNA from 1 species